UACGUAGGGUGCAAGCGUUGUCCGGAAUUAUUGGGCGUAAAGAGCUCGUAGGCGGUUUGUUGCGUCGGCUGUGAAAUCCCGAGGCUCAACCUCGGGUCUGCAGUCGAUACGAGCAAACUAGAGUGUUGCAGGGGAGACUGGAAUUCCUGGUGUAGCGGUGAAAUGCGCAGAUAUCAGGGGGAACACCGGUGGCGAAGGCGGUUCUCUGGGCAUUACCUGGACGCUGAGGAGCGAAAGUGUGGGGAGCGAACAGG
rnacentral:rRNA from 1 species